CACUAUCAUCAAUACAAGCCAAACAUCCGAACGCUGAAAGUUUUGCGCUUUUGGAUUAUAACGACAAAACGAGAUCACGCCUCAAUGGACUUUCACGCGUUUUAGAUAAAACUCUUCGAGGAUAACUUCCUGACAUAGGUUCUUGUGUGGGAGCUGAGGCCUUUCCCAGACACAACAGAAACCAGAGGCUGUGGUUGAUUUCAUGACUUCCUCCUCAUUGUUUGCCUGUCUGUGUGACUGGAAACCGGCAGUGACAGACAGAUGACUCUGGUCGCUCUUAAACUGAACUUGUGGAGAAACUGGACCUGGCUCCCCUUUAGAAGUAGUGACUAAUCAAGGCCGACGGCAGAGCGCCAUGCUUUUCCCACACUUCUGAGGCAGCGUAACCUGUCAUGCUGACCUUGUUGCUCAACUCUGCUUUCAGCUUGAUGUCCAAAUUAUCCCAGCACACUGCUGCCAAGUUGCUGAAGUGGUUUACACACAAUCCUGCACCCAGUGGUCAUUUUGGAGUUCAGCGGCAAAGAGCAUCAAGGAAGCAUUACCACAUCACUCACAGUUCAGCUCUCCGACGUUGCCCUGACCUCCUGAACCUUGACUUUACCUGACCUCUCUUCAGACUCUCGGUUUAACCAGCUCAGCGUCUCUCAGUAUCAGAGCACUAUGGAAUCCCAAUGAGCUCAGAUGACACAGGAGUAGAAUUGUACAGGACGUAUUCAGACAAACAUCCCUACGCCAUUCCUAAUUCUCAGUUCCUCCUCUUCGGCACGUCGGACAGAGGAUGUGGAGAGGAGCGAGGGGUGAGGAAUGUGAGAAGAGAGGAGGAGUGGGAACGAGGGGGCGGUUUGAGCUUCAUCAGAAGUUGAGCUGGAAGAGGAAGCCGCCAAUGUGGGGAAAUAAACAGAGUCUGAAGUGGCUUAACCAGCCGUCAGCGUGGGAACCCCAUAUAACUGAUGGCCGAGUGUGGAGGAUAGCCGUGUUCUGGUUCUGAAUGAUACCUUUGGGCUAAAGCGGGAAACCGUGGACAUAUCUCUCCAUCUGCUUCCCUGUGAUAUCAAAGGAAAGCCUUGGAUUCUACGGCCUAUAUAUAAAGCCUGCAGGAAGACAUGUGUUAUUCUGGCUCUCUUCCUGUAACCUAAGGCUGAUCUUGAGUGCUCUUUUUCUCAUUCUCUCUAACUUUGUGUUGCUUUAUUCUCGCCGGUCUCUGCUGAGGUUGACCCUCUGAUGACUAAAUGCAUUCAUUUUUGUGGUCCUGUGGGCCUUUCCUGUUAUUUAGACAUGGGCAGGACAUCUAGAGGUUAAAGAGAAAGCUCACCUAAAAAUGAAAACUGUGUCAUCAUUUAUUUACCCUUAUUUAAGAAAGUACGGUUUGGAAUGACAUGGGUAAACAAUGACACAAUACUAACUUUUAGCUGAAGGAUUCUUUGAAUUCUGCCCUCAACAAACUGAAUUUCCAGAAAUAUUGCAAACGGACACAAUCUGUUUCUAAAUUAACUUUUGCUUCCACCCACACAGGACCACAAUGUUAAUUAGACCACAUUGUUUGCCAUUCUUUAGCGCAAUAUGAAACCACUUGUUUGCUAAUGACCUAGACAAAUAAAGGAAUAUCUCUGACAGGGUGUUAAAGAGUUCCAAGCUCAUGACAAUUAGAAAGUGUGUGUUGCGUUUGUGAGAACACAGGUGAUGGAUCAUCAUGUACGUGGCACUACUAGAGCAUAAUUUGGUCGGUUCCAAUUAGCUUUGCAUGCCAUGCUCUAUUGACUACUGACAGUCCACUUCUCUUGCUUUAUUGACACCCUGGCCUUUGCUUUCAUCAGU